rnacentral:lncRNA from 1 species
UACACUUGAACGACCUUCGCACUACAUCCUAAAAUAGGCCAAGAUGGGCUUGGUAUCUAAGGUCCUUGGCUUCUAAGGUUCCUAUUGGAAAGAGUAAUGCCUAACCACGACUACUCGUGUGACAUUAUUGAUCCCAACAAGACCUCCACCAAGUGAAUGGGCUUGCAAGUCAACUUGCUAAGGAAUAACUCCACACAAGUCAACAAGACUAUGCCAUUCUCCUAUCAUAAGUGCACUCGAGUUCGGGUAUAGAACUCAUCUCACAAG